rnacentral:rRNA from 1 species
AAUAAUUUUAAGUAAAAUAUUAUAAUGGGGGUUAAAGUAUUUUAUAAAGAAAUAAAUUAUUUAAUUUAUAGAGAAUUAGUAUUGUGGGGGAAAUUUGAAAUAUGUGAAAAUUUAAUUAUUUUAUAAGUAGAUUUAAUUUAUUGUAUCUUGGGUAUCAGAGUUUAUUAAUAAAAAUUUUUAUUUAAAUAAUUUUCGAAUUUAAAAGAGUUAAAUAAUUAUAAAAUUUAUUGUGGCAAAAAUAUUUUUAAUAAUUAUUUAGAAAUGAAAUGUUAAUCGUUUUUAAAUUUAUCUAAUUUUUUUAGAAAAAAAUUUAAUUUUAAAUUAAUUAAAUUAAAAAUUUUAAUAAUAAAUUUUUUGGGGGUUAAAUUUAAUAUUUUAAGGGAUAAGCUUUAAAUUAAAUUUUUAUAAUGAAAAUAUUUAAGUGUAUUUGAAAAUUUUAAAAUUUAUAUUGUUUAGAAAUUUUAUUUUUUUAUAAAUAAUUUCAAUUUAAUUAAAAUUUAAUAUUAUUUAUUUAAUUUUUUAUAAAAAAAUAAAAUUUAAUAAAAAAUUUUUAGUUAUAAUGAUAAAAUUAGUAUAAUAUUAUAUAUAUAUAUAUAUAUAUAUAUAUAUAUGUUAAAAAUUAUUAUAAUUUAUUUUUAAAGUUAAUUAUAAGGAAUUCGGCAAAAUUUUACAUUCACUUGUUUAUCAAAAACAUGUCUUUUUGGUUAAUAAUUUAAAGUCUAAUCUGCCCACUGAUUUUAAUUAAAGGGCUGCAGUAUUUUGACUGUACAAAGGUAGCAUAAUCAUUAGUCUCUUAAAUGGUGACUUGUAUGAAAGAUUGGAUGAAAUGUAAGCUGUCUUAUUUUUAAUGUUAGAAUUUAAUUUUUUAGUUAAAAAGCUAAAUUUUAUAUAAAAGACGAGAAGACCCUAUAGAGUUUAAUAUAAGUAAUUAAUUAAAAAUUUUUUUAUUAAUAUUAAAUUUAAAUUAAUUUUUAUAUUUUGUUGGGGUGAUAAAAAAAUAAAAUUAACUUUUUUUAAAUUAAUAUUUAUAUAUAUAUAUAUAUAUAUAUAAAUAUGAUAACAUUAAUAAGUGAGUAUUUGAUCCAUAAUUUAUGAUUAAAAGAUUAAAUUACCUUAGGGAUAACAGCGUAAUUUUUUUUUUUAGUUCGAAUAAAAAAAAAAGUUUGCGACCUCGAUGUUGGAUUAAGAUAAAAUUUAAAUGCAAAAGUUUAAAAUUUUGAUCUGUUCGAUCAUUAAAAUCUUACAUGAUCUGAGUUCAAACCGGUGUGAGCCAGGUUGGUUUCUAUCUUUAUAGAAUUAAAAUAUUUUAGUACGAAAGGAUCAGAUAUUUUAAAUAAUUUAAUUAAUUAGUAUAUU